GACGGAGGGUGCAAGCGUUGUUCGGAAUUACUGGGCGUAAAGCGCGGGCAGGUGGCUCUUUAAGUCCUUUGUGAAAUUCCGGGGCUCAACUCCGGAUGUGCAUAGGAUACUGGAGAGCUAGAGACUGGUAGAGGCGAGCGGAAUUCCUGGUGUAGCGGUGGAAUGCGUAGAUAUCAGGAAGAACACCGGUGGCGAAGGCGGCUCACUGGCCCGGUACUGACGCUGAGGUGCGAAAGCGUGGGGAGCAAACAGG
rnacentral:rRNA from 1 species